GCUUGCUGUUUCGCUGACGAGUGGCGGACGGGUGAGUAAUGUCUGGGAAACUGCCUGAUGGAGGGGGAUAACUACUGGAAACGGUAGCUAAUACCGCGUAACGUCGCAAGACCAAAGAGGGGGACCUUCGGGCCUCUUGCCAUCGGAUGUGCCCAGAUGGGAUUAGCUAGUAGGUGGGGUAACGGCUCACCUAGGCGACGAUCCCUAGCUGGUCUGAGAGGAUGACCAGCCACACUGGAACUGAGACACGGUCCAGACUCCUACGGGAGGCAGCAGUGGGGAAUAUUGCACAAUGGGCGCAAGCCUGAUGCAGCCAUGCCGCGUGUAUGAAGAAGGCCUUCGGGUUGUAAAGUACUUUCAGCGGGGAGGAAGGGAGUAAAGUUAAUACCUUUUCUCAUUGACGUUACCCGCAGAAGAAGCACCGGCUAACUCCGUGCCAGCAGCCGCGGUAAUACGGAGGGUGC
rnacentral:rRNA from 1 species